GGGGAGGGGCCGGGCCGGGGCUCCCCUCCGCGCUCCUGCCCCGGCUGGGGGGAGCUCGCGGCACGCGCACAGCGGCAGCCCCACUCGCGGGCCUGUUUGGGGAACCCUCCAAAGCACGCUGCAUGUUUUCUGAAACCACGCUAAUGCAGACAGAAGCAAAUAUGGAUCCUUACACUAUGCUGCUAAAUGAAGCCUUUCUAAUGAAUCCAGAAAGACAACACACUAGAAGUCCUUUAACCCUGGUAUUGGAAAAUGGAAGCUGUUUUUAUGAAGAACAGAGGCUCCAUAUUGAAGAAGAUUUCUCUUCAUCUUUUAGAAGAAAAUUAGGAAUAGAACUAGUAGGUCCUGUUUCCCAUCAAAAGCAUGAAAAACUCAUGAGCGCUUAUGCAGGCUUCGUUUUAUGGCAUAAUUAAAUAUUGUUUGAGAAUGAGGUGUUGAAGAGUAUGUGGGUUGUUUUUUAGAUGAACCAGAAUAAGGAAGCCACAAGAGUGUGAACUGGACGGCUGAGGAUAUAAACCAAACAAUUCGGGAACUUUGUAGUGAGCUGUGUAUGGAAACCAUUUUAAAUAUUGUUCAUAGAUUCAUAGAUCGUAGAGCCUGAAGGGACCACAAUGGAUCAUCGUGUCCGACCCCCUGCCCCUGGCAGGAAAGAGGACCAAGGUCAGAUGACCCCAGCCAGGUGACUAUCUAGCCUCCCCUUGAAGACCUCCAAGCUAGGUGAUAGCACCACAUCUCUUGGAAGCCCAUUCCAGAUCCUGGCCACCCUUACUGUGAAAAAUUUCUUCCUAAUAUCUAACCUAAAUCCACUCUCAACUAGUUUACACCCAUUAUUCCUAGUCACUCCCUGGGGCGCCUUAGUAAACAGCACUUCCCCUAUUCCCUGUUGACCUCCCCUAAUAAAUUUAUAGGCGGCCACAAGCUCUCCCCUCAGUCGAGACGACUCAAGUCAAGAGACUUGUGAAGGCUGAAGAGAUUCAGCUCUCUCAACCUCCCCCCGUAGGGUCUAUCACGAAGGCCACUAAUCAUGCGAGUGGCCCUCCUCUGGACCCUCUCGAGAUUCCCCGCAUCCCUCUUGAAGUGCGGUGCCCAAAACUGGACACAGUACUCCAACUGCAGCCUGACCAGUGCUGUAUAGAGCGGGAGCAUCACCUCCUUUGUUCUAUUAGUCAUGCACCUGCUAAAGCACUACAAGGUACAAUUGGCCCUGUUGAUGGCCUUGUUAUGCUGCCGGUUCAUGUUCAUCUUGGAGUCAAUUAUGACUCCAAGGUCCCUCUCUGCCUCCGAGCUGCUGAGAAGGACGCUCCCUAACCUAUAGGUGUGCGGGGGGUUCCUCCUUCCCAGGUGGAGUACCUUACAUUUAUCUUCACUAAAUUGCAUCCUAUUUCUCUCUGCCCAUUGAUCCAACCUGUCCAGGUCAGCCUGAAUCUGCUCCCUGCCCUCCGGUGUACUAACUUUGCCCCAUAACUUGGUAUCAUAAGCGAACUUGGAGAGGGUGCUCUCCACAUCCUCGUCCAAAUCGCUGAUGAAGAUAUUAAAUAAUGUUAUUGCAUUAGCUUAUAGCCUGGGUUGUUUGAAAUUAACUGAGAGGCAUUUUGCUUGGUAUAGCCAUUGUUAAUGUCUGCUAAUUUGUCUAGAGACCCAAAUUCUGCUCCAUAUGGAAUUAUCCAGGAAAAAAAUAGGCCUCUCAUACCCUAUGUUGGAACACUUAAUUGGGACAAGAGCUUAUAAAACCGUGCUCUGGAGAAAAGUUUAGCCAGGAUAUAGUAUAAAACUAGCAAAAAGCAGUACAUUUUAUACAGAAUUUGAUGGAAAUAAAGGCUGUUUUAAAAUGAAUGCUCACUGUUGUCAUAGAAUCAUAGAAGUAGGGUUGGAAGGGACCUUGUAGAUCUUCAGGUCUGACCCCCUGCCUGGGCAGGAAGAAAACUGGGCUCAAAUGACCCCAGCCAGGUAGGCAUCAAGCCGCUUCUUAAAGACCCCCAGGGUAGGAACCAGCACCACUUCCCUUGGAAGUUGGUUCCAGAUCCUAGCUGCCCUGACUGAAGUAGUUCUUAUGGAUGUCUAAUCUAAACCUACUCUCCAACAAUUUGUGGCCGUUAUUCCUUGUUAUCCCAGGGGGCGCUAAGGGAAACAAAGUCUCCCCCAAACCCUUCUGGUCCCCCCUAGUGAGUUUAUAGACGGUCACCAGGUCCCCAUAGAUGGUCACCAGGUCAUGUGCUGUUCAGUCUCUUGGGGCCCUGGGUGCAUAACACUGGCAAGGGUGUGGAUGGGUGAGGGUUCUGUUAACCUACAAAACACAACAAAACGUUGGCUGGGGCAUUGUACUCUACCUUCCCUGCACAGUGAGGGUAAACAGGGUCCCCUCAAAAGGACAUGUUGGAACAUGCCUGAGGAAAGCAGGAAAGCUAUGGAAAAUUUGGAUGGGCCAUCAUCAUCAAGUCAUCAGACCUAUUGACUACAAUAGGGUGGGAUGUUUUCACCUGAGAACAAUGAGGACCUCCCUGAGAAUAGUGCUGAACCAAUCUGAUCAAGGAAAGGUGGAACCUAGAUUGGAAGCCCCGGCACUAUUCACACACCUCUCGCUCAGAAACACUGUGAAAGAGGUUCAGGUAACUGAGACAGAUUCCCAGACGCCUAAAACUGGCCCAAGGACGAUAACAGAACCCCAGCAGCCCAUAUCAGAGCCUUUCGUGGAGAGCACAGAGCUGGUGGACAGUCCUGCUCCAAGGGACACUGUUGAGGUAGGUGCUUCCCAUACAGAGAGCUUUCAAAAUCUACACAUUGGCACCCCACUGAGAGUAAAGGUCUUUGCGUGAACUGUUUUUGCUCAUGUCCUAACAAGAGGCAUUCAAAAUAAGACUGUUGCAGCUGUUUUGUCCAAAGACAAUGGCAGUCAAGCAAGGUGUUGAACCCCUGGAGGUCCCUGAGCAGGGGUGUAUGGGGCAUUAUUUGAGAAUUUAAAAAGUAGCGCCCCCACCCCUGCUCAGAAAAGGUUUCUUGUGUGACCUGGUACAGUGUUUAUGUUUUGUUAGUGUUUGUUUUGUUUCUGAAGGGGUGGAGACUGGUAAAAUCAUAAUAAUGAAUUUGUUCACUCAGAUUACUUCUGUAAUAGAGACAGAGAUGGUAUUAGUUCUUCCCCCAAAGAGUUCGUCCCUAGGUGCCAGAGGAGAAGGCAGCUGGGUUCUGCUUAAGAAAUUUGUGAACUCCCUGACUGAUUCUAACAAAGUCCUCCACUCAUGCUCCGAAAUGGUCCUGACAGUAAAUCCUAGUCUCUUAAAAUAUUUGCCUUGUACUGUGUCUGACAAUUCAAAAAGCCAUAGGUUGUCCCUGUCAAUGGGUUCCAUUCAUUUUAAUUGCAGCAGGAGAUACAGCCAUGGAAAAAGCAGCCAUUAAGUUCAAAGGCUGCAUGUUUUCCAUCAAUUUCUGCAUAGCCAUCUAAAAAAUAGUCCCCCGCUUGAAAUUCCACACCCUGUAAAGUAUGCUGGAUUUGGAUUUUUUUUCUUUCUCGGAGGGGUACAUUAACCACUGAAUAGAUUGGGAUAAAAAAUCUCUUUGUGAUAAUUGUCUGGGGGAAGAAGUACUGUGGUCAGGGGUUUCAAAAACAUAAAUCUGUACAUGGCCAUACAAAAAGAUGCCAAUGUGAUAUAUUGGAAAGGGUCUUUGCAGAGACUUACCUAUUUGAGUUUACCCUGUUACACCACCUCUACCUGCCAUGUCAUUUUCAUAAUCUCUUUCCUGUAGAGGCAAGAGGCCUCCUUCAAAAUUUUUACAUCCAGCUGCUGUAGCAGAAAGCCCCUUUUCCUCUUGCCUGCAGUUGCUCUCCCCUUCUUGGAUAUGUUUUUCUUCUUCUACCUUUUCUUCCUUCCUCUUUCUUUCACUUUAAGAUAAGGAAUUGUGUUUUGAAAUUUGUAUGUGUGCAUUUUGUAUCUCCCCUUGUAUUUUGGUAUUUUUAUCUAUUUGUGUGCCAUGGCAUUACUUUUGUAGCUUAUAUUUUAUACUCCUCACCUUUCAACUUUCAACUAAAUGUGUUUAGUUUCAUAAGUAAGUUAAACAUUGUAACAAUGUUAACAUGGGCAGGAAUCAAACUGCCCUUCCCUGUGUCAGGCGGGCCCCUGAAAGAGCGAGUGAAUCAGUGAUUGAAUGUGUAACACGGUAGCAGACAGUAAUUAACACCUAAGGAAACUGCAGAUCAACCAACGGAAGACCUCAAUAGAAGACAAUGUAACAACCGGAAAAUCUCUAAACCUGAGUGAUCAAGGGCUAGAAGCCCUGGCCUAAGUUAAUCAACGCUGGGGACCAACUUUUGGGCUGAAUAUCUCCAGAUUGACUGCUCCCAGAGCCCUAUUCAAAAUUCAUCAACGGACUUCCAAACCUGCAUGUACAUGCGGACGACCCCUGGGGCUAACAGAUGCUAUCCAGUAGCCACUGAGGGGGAAGUCCCACAACCAAGGGUCAACAACCCCUGGAUUGAGGGGGAAGUCCCCAAUCCAAGGGUCAACAACCCCUGGAUUGGGCAAACCUGAAAAGUGGGGAGUCACCAAAGUCUGCCAAGGACAGAUAAAAAGCAGUGAAAAGUAACCCUCAGUGGCGCCCUCUUGAUCUCCAACUUGACCAGCACCUGACCUGUCCAGCCAGAAGGACCAGCCAGCGACCCCCUUCUGGAAGAUAACACCAUGCUGAAAGAAGCCUCAAUGGCAGACUCCAGUGCCUGUGGGAUAGGUAUACCUGACUCUUGUAGCUUGCUACUAUGUGUGUGCAUGUGUGGGGGGGGGGACCAGCCCCAAGGUUUAUGAUUUAACUUCAUUACAGUGCUUCAAUCCGCCUAAUAAACCAGAAUUUUAAGGAUCCUGAGUUGGACAUUUGUAGCCAACACUGCCAAUAAUAGGCCAAUUCCUUUUGCAUGUCAAAGGUCUUAUCACGGUUGUUCUGAUACCAUUCUAAAAAUUGCCCUUCUCACCAGGUGUCAUACUUUCAACCCCACAGUACUCUGCUUCCAGGAGAAGUCCCACAUAAUUCUGUUUUUCCUGUGUGUUAAAAUAAUACGGGAAAUGCCCUCUGCAUUCUUUGAGUCCCAUUGCUUGGGGGAGCUUGCUGCAUUUCAUUAACAAAAAGUUUAAAGAAUUGUGACGGGCUGGCUGGUCACAAGCCAGGGGUUUUGCAGUGACUUAGCCCAGGGGUUUUGAAAGGGCAAAAGAUGAUUGGAGGACUUGGGAUUCCCUUUCCUCACCAAUCAGGCCCCAGAGACUCACCCUCCACGUCCCCUGAUUGGCCCUGUGGGUCACCUGGAGGGGGAUAAAAGGGGCAGUGCGGCUGACUCAGGGAAGAGACCAGCGAGGAACCACAAGGAAGGAGCUUCAAGGAGCUGGCAAGAGCUGAGCUAGCGGGGCAGGAGCAGUUGCCCCAGAAGAGCCUGAAUGAGUGGGACCUGCAGGCAGCACUGGGGUCCUCAGCAGUGCGAUGUGCGGCUGGCAGGAGAGGCUCCCCACUGGGCUCCAGGAUCCCCUAUGAGAGGCUGUGGCCAGCAGGAGAGGCUCCCCAGCUCCAGCAAGAUCUGAGCAGCAACCUGAGAGGUUCCCAGUGAGGCUGGGGCUCCAGGAAAGUCAAGACCUCUAGCAGGAUAGCAUUGUACCAGCACUGGUGGCUAUAUGGCAGAGUUUCUGCCUACUAUAUGGGAGUUCUGAGUUCAAGUCCCAGAGUCCUAGUUUUGGUGACUUGGGGUAAGUGAGCUAACAAAGAAAAUUCCUCUUGCAGUGGAAAGGGGCCAUUGUGUUUUCCCCCUCUUUCCCCCUCCAGAUGCCUAGGCCCUAUAUUCCUUGUAAUUUGACAUUUUGUAUUUUGUGCCUUUUAUAUUUCCAGUAAUAACAACCAGUAUUGUUUGUUCUGCUUUUUGUGUUUUACAUGUUGGUUAAACCUGUCUUUUGUCAACUGAAUGAAUAUGUCUAUGAUUGUAAGUGUCUAACCUUUGUUGAAUCCUGCCCCUUUGGGGCAUUGUAUUGUCCCCUAUACCCCCCUGGUUUAUACUGGUUAUGUUCCCAGUAUUGUUCCCUCAUUAAAAGGAAUAUGGUUAAGUCCC